CCGGUCUCCUUCUCCUUCUGCGGCCUCUUCGCUUCGGUCACGGCCGCCUCCAGCGCUGGGGACACACCGGGAGGGGGUCAAAGGCCAGGGUCCGCUGAAGGACGGGGAACGUCGCGGGACUGCGCCGGCGGCAGACGGGCUGGUUUUGGACUUAAAAUCGCUAAUAAAUCUGUCUGAACCACA